UACGUAGGGCGCGAGCGUUGUCCGGAAUUAUUGGGCGUAAAGCGCUCGUAGGCGGCUUGUCACGUCGGGUGUGAAAGCCCGGGGCUUAACCCCGGGUCUGCAUUCGAUACGGGCUAGCUAGAGUGUGGUAGGGGAGAUCGGAAUUCCUGGUGUAGCGGUGAAAUGCGCAGAUAUCAGGAGGAACACCGGUGGCGAAGGCGGAUCUCUGGGCCAUUACUGACGCUGAGGAGCGAAAGCGUGGGGAGCGAACAGG
rnacentral:rRNA from 1 species